rnacentral:rRNA from 1 species
AUCUGCCCUUAGGAUGGGGACAACAGUUGGAAACGACUGCUAAUACCCCAUGUGCCGAGGGGUGAAAGAUUUAUUGCCCGCGGAAGAGCUCUCGUCUGAUUAGCUAGUUGGGGGGGUAAAGGCCUCCCCGGCGCCAAUCACUAUCUGGUCUGAGAGGAGGAUCACCCCCACUGGGACUGAGACACGGCCCACACUCCUACAGGGGGCGCCACUGGGGAAAUUUCCCCACUGGGCGCAAGCCCGACAGAGCACCACCCCGUGUGGGAGGAAAGCGCCUGGGUUGUGAACCCCUUUUUUCUCGGAAAAAAAUCUGAGGGGGCUUUUGGAAAAAACAUCUGCUAAAUCUGUGCCCCCACCCCCGGUAAAACACAGAAUACGCGCGUUUUCCCGAAAUUUUGGGCGCAAAACGCCCCUGUGUGGGGCUUUAAAUCUGCUUUUAAAAAUCGCAGGUCAACUCCCUGUACGGGAUGGGAACACUACAACUCUAGUUUGCUGUGGGCACAGAGAAAUUCCCGUGUGGCGCUGAAAUGCGUAUAUAUCUGGAAAAACACCCCUGGCGAAAGCGCUCUGUUGU